rnacentral:rRNA from 1 species
UACGAAGGGUGCAAGCGUUAAUCGGAAUUACUGGGCGUAAAGGGUGCGUAGGCGGUUCGUUAAGUCUGUCGUGAAAUCCCCGGGCUCAACCUGGGAAUGGCGAUGGAUACUGGCGAGCUAGAGUGUGUCAGAGGAUGGUGGAAUUCCCGGUGUAGCGGUGAAAUCCGUAGAUCUACGAAGGAACGCCAAAAGCGAAGGCAGCUCUCUGGGUCCCUACCGACGCUGGGGUGCGAAAGCAUGGGGAGCGAACAGG